CAGCAGGCAAUUAGCAACAGUUAGUGGUCAGUUUUACAUUUGAAGGCAUUCCUUUAGACAGAGCCAGCAGCUGUUUGCUUUUGAAUGGGAAGGUGCAGGAAUAUUUUCUGGCUGAAGACUUGGCCUGGGAGCAAACUUUUUCAGCUUGAUGCAGGAGGUUAGGGAGUGGUUCAGUUGCAUCCUGCAAAGACCAUCACACCUUGGACGACCCGCCUUUACCGAAGAUCAGCAGCCCCGACACCAAGACAUCGCUGGAUGAGAGGUAGCCAUGGAAGGAAAUGGCUGCCCCAGUUAGAAGCUGAGAAUGAAAUGACUCCUUUUCGGCUGCAGCAUUAGAGGGGCCUUCAGUAGACCAUGUGCUACAUGAGCACUCAUCUCAGCCUUGGGAACACUCCUGGGAUGCACUUUUUUUUCUCUAUCCAACCUCCAGGCGAUGAGGAGAAAGUGAAAUGAUAGUAGACAUGGUAGCAAAGCAAGAAUUCAGUAUCAUAGAAUCAUAGAAUGGCUUGGGUUGGGAGGGACCUCAAGACCAUCGUGUUCCAACCCCUUUGCCACAGGAGGACUCAGAACAGAAGAUAUAGUACUGGUUUUGCUAUGAUUGGAAUAAUAAAUUUAAAUUUAAGGUAAGACUUUAAGGUUUCUCACCUUAUUUAGUAUCCAUACCAAAUUGAAAUAAAUCCAGAGAGGCCAGCCAGUGAAGUACAGAGAAUUCAGUGCAUCAAAGAGAGUCUGGCAGUUGUUUGAUUUGUUCUGUUGUCACGUCUUAUCAUAGAGCAGGAUGGUAAGCCAGGACCAAACCCUGCACCCACUGUGCUGACAACAUAUC
ensembl:lncRNA